GCGUGGGUCGGCCCGUUGUCCUCAUGAUUACGGCAUGGACGCGGCGGGCCGGGGGAAGUCGCCGUCUCAUUCCCCGCGGACGGUGGCCUGGUCCGGGAGGCGGCCAGCGUCUCCCGGACCACA
rnacentral:ncRNA from 1 species